UACGGAGGUGGCAAGCGUUGCUCGGAAUCACUGGGCGUAAAGGGCGCGUAGGCGGGGAGGUAAGUCGGGUGUGAAAUCCCUCGGCCCAACCGAGGAACUGCGCCCGAGACUGCUUCUCUUGAGUCCCGGAGAGGAAGAUGGAAUUCCCGGUGUAGCGGUGAAAUGUGUAGAGAUCGGGAGGAACACCGGUGGCGAAGGCGGCCUUCUGGACGGUGACCGACGCUGAGGCGCGAAAGCGUGGGGAGCAAACGGG
rnacentral:rRNA from 1 species